rnacentral:rRNA from 1 species
GACGAACGCUGGCGGCGUGCUUAACGCAUGCAAGUCGAACGGUGAAGCGACUGGUUUUGCUGGUCCUGGAUGAGUGGCGAACGGGUGAGUAACACGUGAGUAACCUGCCCCCUUCUUCUGGAUAACCGCAUGAAAGUGUGGCUAAUACGGGAUAUUCUGGGUCUGUCGCAUGGUGGGCCUGGGAAAGAUUGCGCCUUUUUUGGUGUUUUUGGUGGGGGAUGGGCUCGCGGCCUAUCAGCUUGUUGGUGGGGUGAUGGCCUACCAAGGCGGUGACGGGUAGCCGGCCUGAGAGGGUGGACGGUCAGACUGGGACUGAGGCACGGGCCAGACUCCGACGGGGGGCAGCAGUGGGGAGGAGGGCACAAUGGGGGCAAGCCUGAUGCAGCGACGCCGCGUGAGGGAUGGAGGCCUUCGGGUUGUGAACCUCUUUCGCCAGUGAAGCAGGCCUGGCUCUUUUUGUGGUUGGGUUGACGGUAGCUGGAGAAGAAGCGCCGGCUAACUACGUG